CACGCAGAGGCCAGCCUGUGGGUUACAGAGAUGCACAGGGAGGAACAAAGCCCAGAACAAUCACAGAGAAUCAAGGCACUCUGGUUAUACCUUGCCUUCCCUAAGCUGCUGAUGAAUUAGCAGAUCAGAUUCCAGAAAUAAUUCAGCCUGCCACUGUUUCUUUUUCACUCACGUGUCCCCUGGCCGGGCAGCCUUGCUGUAGUGCCUCUGUUUCAUAUUCCGUUUGUAAGAUGGGCAGCUCCAAGUCUAUGCUCACUCAGCUGCUCAUCAAGAAUAACAAGGUACAUGACAAAGGAGGUAAGGAUGUCCUCGUCAAAUGUCCUAUGCUGUCACCUGCCAGAAAGCCCUCGGCAGUCAGUGUCCGAGAUGGCUCCCCACGCAGGAAUCUCUCUGAAGUGCUCUGUGAUCUCCACAACUAAAACAUAAUCUCUGGCCCCAGAGAGCUCUGGGGCUCUGUUCCCUUGUUCAGCCCGUGCUCCUGGUCAUCUUUAGCCCCGGGACUGAGGCUUGGACAGGCUCAGGUGCAGCUGUCUGUGAAAAUCAGAUUGAUGCAUCUGAUUACAUGGCCUGUUAACAUCUGCAAAAAAUAAGAUAAAAUAAGAAUUAUUUACCUGUCACAGCUUUGAGACACCAUCACAAACUGGAGCUGACACCUCUUCUAUUCACCUUGGAGAGGUGCAGACUGAAGAGUGGACCGUGACACACUUAAUAGAUUGCUGGGCAUUUACAGAGCUGCUUGUUACCCAGCUCAAGAGCCGUGUCCAACUGCUACAGCGUUCAUCAAAGACAAGAAGCCACAAGGAGCAGUCAGUACUGCAAUUCAUUAAGGCAACUUGACCUCUGGGGAGAGGAGAAGAAAAAGGAACUAGCAGCAUUGAUUGCUUAUGUUUCCUGAAGUGUGGUGUCAUGGCAUAAAAUGACAUUGAAUCAUAGGAUCAACAGAGAAGAAAUGAGUCAACAAUGGUGCAGGUGAUCUGUGCAGUGCUGUGCAGGGGAGGGGUCAAAGCUGUGAUGCUGGCAUGCAACUAACUCACCACUGUGAGCCAAUCACAAAAGCAGAAACUUGGCCAAGCUGGUUGUCUUUCUAGAAAGAAAGGGACCAGCUUGACGAAGCUUCUGCUUUUGUGACUGUCUCCUAAUGGUGAGUAUUGAGAAUUUCUUCUUACAGUCACAGCAGUGAAAAGGAACUUUUCAUCCAAAAAUUACAAAACAGAUUUAUGUUGAAAAUAAUGAGAACUUUGUUGGUGCCCUGGAAAAAUAUUUGAGAGAAGCGGAGAGUGAUUCCUUUUAUUGGGCCAGAGUGUAAAAGUCAGCUCAUUGGUCUCAAGGGAAGAAAAAGUUCUUUUCUUCAGUUGGCAAUUUGUUUUCAACAAAAGAUUUGGAAUGCCUUUUUCUUUUCUUUUUAAUAAAGGAAGGAUAUAGUUAGUUGACCAGGAAUUAGCUAGGGAUUAAGAAUCGGUUGGCUUGGCAAUAUUUCUACCUGCUUGCUGUGCAUAUACUUGAAUUAACAAUGGUCAAUAAUCAAAAGGGCAUUGAAAUGUGAGUUGGGCUGUGGAGGGACCACCCCAAAUCUACUUCUCUGUAGUAUUGAACCCAGGGGCCUCACUUUGCCUCGCUGCAGUUCUGUGGUUUUUAAUUUAUCAUUUCCAGGAUCUGUGGGUUUCUUCAAGCUCCCAGACUUGCUCAGGCACAUUGCAAAUAGCCAUGAUUUGAGACGAUUUUCUUUAAUGCUGAAGCAGAUGAAGAACCCAGGUUCUUUUUAGUGGCGAGGCUUGUUUAUCAGCAGCUAUACAGCUAUGGGCACAGACACAGGUAAACAGCACAGACGCUGGGAGAGGGAUGGCAUCCAGACUCAGAAGAAGGCCAGCAUCUGACCGUGACCAUCACGCCCACGUGACAAAAGAUGUCACCAGAGUGAACAGUUCUGACCACAGUGGCCUUUCACCUGCUUCAUUAAACUUAACUCACACCAGCUCAGAGGACAAUUCGAUUAAUUCUGUAUCUCAGCAGAAACCAGAGCACCUCAGAAGAUCAAGGCUUCCAAAUUCUCCUGGGGGAACAGACGUCAGCCACUCAGCACGAAGGCAACUUCCUUCUCUGUAUGUCAGAGGAAGACAUAAUUGUGCCAUUUCCUUCUUGAAGAAGUUUACAAACAUUUGCAAGUUGUCAAAAAUAAUUAGUCUAAAAUUGUUUCAUAAACCAUGGAAUGAAACAGUACGUGCCUUGUUGAGAUCAAAGGGCUUCUGUUACCUUCUUGUAAACCCAAAUGAAAUUCUUUUGAAAGUAAACUCUUGGAAUUAGCGGUGGUUUUUGUGGCACAUCUAUGGCAGGGGGAGGGGAGCAGAAUGAUUCAGAUGGCAGAGUCCAAUGGAGA